rnacentral:other from 1 species
AUUUCUCUGAGAUGUUUGUCAGCGGGCCAGUCCCCUGAGCCGAUAUUUCAUACCACAAGAAUGUGGCGCUCCGUUGCCCGUGAGCAUGCUCGGUCCGUCCGAGAAGCCUUAAGGUUACGACGCUACGUUCACCUUGAACCAAGGGUUCAAGGGUUACAGCCUGCGGCGGCAUCUCGGAGAUUCC